AAUCAAAAUAAAAAAAGGGAAGGGAUUUAGGGUUCAAUCACUUGUGACGUUUGGAGUUCUUCUCCCUCCUCUCUCACUCGCGGCGGACCUCCACUGCUUCUCCGAUGAGCUCUUCGCGCGCCACCAUGGAACCAAAGCCUCCAAUCUCGUUUCUCCGCCUCAUCUUCGAUCCAUUUCGUGUAGUCUCGAUUCAAACCCGAAUGGAGUUCAUCCGGCGUGACGUGUGCGAAGAGAAAUUCAGAGAUAUUCGUUGAAUAACAUGAGGUAUCAAACUUCCGCGUUCUCUUUGUUCAAACCGUCAUCCCUGGUUCCGAUUUCGUCCUCUAUUUGAGUUCAAUUCGGACUCGAUGCUUCUUCGACGUCGUGGAGAAGAUGAUUAGUUCAACUGUAAGUCCGGUAUUGUGAAUUCCGAUCGAGGGAGUGUUCGAGACUUGCAAGAAUGGUGAUGUUAUGCGCCCUGAAGGUGAAGAUUGAAUGGUGAAUUGAUGGAUUCUUUUCUCUGAUUUUCUGCAGGGUUUAUUGAAGGUGAAGCUUGAAGAUUGUGAAAGAUGGAACAGAGAUCAUAGAAGGUGAUGGUUAUGGCCGAAGGGUGGAAACCAGGGUGAAGAAGAUGAUGGUUGAAGAAUGGUGGUGAGGAAUGAAUGUGAGGUGUGGAUUUUGUUACAGGUUUUUUGGUUAAAGAUUGUAGAUGAAGAUAGAUGAAGAGAAGUGAAGAAGGAAUGCAAAUGGCAGCGAAGGUAUGGAGAAUUCAGAGAGUGAGAGUCUAGAACAAUGAUCGAAGAUGGAAGAUCAGUUAUAUAGGGGUUUCUCAAGGUUUUAUGGUGAAGUGCAGCGGCUAGUUUGCGUGGCAGCUUGUUGCAUUUACAUGGGCUGAGUUUGAAUGGUGCAGGGACUGUUUCCACGAAGCUGUCAGCUUGAUGAUUUUAUGCAACAGAAUUGCGGUUUAUCGUUUUUGGCAGAGGACCGGUUUCUUAUGGUUCAGUUGCAAGGUUAAAUGUUAGAAUCGGUUCCCAAAAUUGCUAGAAACCAGGGUAUUAGCUUGAUAUAUGAUGAAGAUUGGUGUGUAUCAUCUUGGAGGAUUGAAGAAAUGAAGAGGAAUAGGUUUAGGAUGUCCAAUUGAGUAGAUGGGUCCAAAAGGUCAAUAGUCAACAAUUCUAGAAUGUAUUUUUUUCAAUGUAAUUUACUCCUUUUUUUCUUGUAUAAUGAACUUGAUCAAUGUAAAGAAAGUGUUGACAUAUAAACUUUGAUUUCUCUUGUACUUUGACAUUUCUAGAUAAUGGAGCAAAUGUUUCUUCUUCCA